UGCAACUUCGUACUUUCGAACACAGCGAUAAAGAAUUUCGUUAGGCAGGUUUCGAUCAAGGACGGUUAUCUGAGGAUCACCUUGCCCUGAUCUUUCACUUUAAUCUGACCCGUGGAAGAGGCAGGAGUUGUCCGUAAUUUCGACUCGCGACGUGAUUGGAAGUAAAGAUAGGCAGUGAUAGAACAUUUCGCUUUUUGAAAGUGCUACCCGUGUGCGACCGCAGUUCGUGCCUGCAAGUGUGCUGCGAGAGAUUCGCCACGGAACACGUCAUCGACAUCCUGCUACAUUGUCAGCGACUUCUUCUGACCCCACCGUCAGCUUCAAGGUUUCCCGGCCCGCUACAACGCCGGACGAGGGUA